rnacentral:rRNA from 1 species
UACGUAGGCAGCGAGCGUUGUUCGGAGUUACUGGGCGUAAAGGGUGUGUAGGCGGUUGUUUAAGUUUGGUGUGAAAUCUCCCGGCUCAACCGGGAGGGUGCGCCGAAUACUGAAUGACUAGAGUGCGGGAGAGGAAAGUGGAAUUCCUGGUGUAGCGGUGAAGUGCGUAGAUAUCAGGAGGAACACCGGUGGUGUAGACGGCUUUCUGGACCGUAACUGACGCUGAGACACGAAAGCGUGGGUAGCAAACAGG